rnacentral:rRNA from 1 species
GAUGAACGCUGGCGGCGUGCCUAAUACAUGCAAGUCGAGCGAACAGACGAGGAGCUUGCUCCUCUGACGUUAGCGGCGGACGGGUGAGUAACACGUGGAUAACCUACCUAUAAGACUGGGAUAACUUCGGGAAACCGGAGCUAAUACCGGAUAAUAUAUUGAACCCCAUGGUUCAAUAGUGAAAGACGGUUUUGCUGUCACUUAUAGAUGGAUCCGCGCUGCAUUAGCUAGUUGGUAAGGUAACGGCUUACCAAGGCAACGAUGCGUAGCCGACCUGAGAGGGUGAUCGGCCACACUGGAACUGAGACACGGUCCAGACUCCUACGGGAGGCAGCAGUAGGGAAUCUUCCGCAAUGGGCGAAAGCCUGACGGAGCAACGCCGCGUGAGUGAUGAAGGUCUUCGGAUCGUAAAACUCUGUUAUUAGGGAAGAACAGAUGUGUAAGUAACUAUGCACGUCUUGACGGUACCUAAUCAGAAAGCCACGGCUAACUACGUG